GGCCUCGUCGUCUAAUGGUUAGGACAUUGGCUCUUCAAGCCAGCAAUACGGGUUCGAUUCCCGUCGAGGCCACCA
rnacentral:tRNA from 1 species